UUUCCAGCAUCAACGGAUAGCCACAGGAGGGAGACCAAAGCUGCAGCAGCCCAACCUAUUCUCACCAUGCCUGUGUGAUUUCCUGUGCUGCUGCCUGCAGACAGACGAGGCACGGCGCUGGUCUGCCAAGGAGCUCCUGCAGCAUCCAUUUGUAACAUCAGCCAAGCCAGCAUCCACCCUGUCACCACUCAUUAUUUCAUUGAAGAAGAAGAAGAAGAAGUGUGACGGAAGACACUGUCUUCAUAACUAGUGUAGAGUAGAACUGUAGUGUAGGAUUGACGAGUAGUUUUGUAAAGUAGGAUUUUCAGGUAGUAGGAUUGUAGAGUAGGAUUAUAGAGUAGGAUUCCUGAGUAGGAGGACUGUAGUGUAGGAUGUUGUGUAGGAUUGUAGAGUAGGAUUGCAAAUAAAUAGUUUUCUGAAACAUCAACUCA